CCCCUGCAUAACUGCUUGCAGUUCUAGUUAAAAGUUGCUGUUGCAGAUACGAUUGUAAAACAUUCAAUCAGCUUUUCAAAAGUCUAUAUUUAUAGUUUGUGUUUGAAAAUCCAAUUUUUUAUUUUCUUGCACAAUGGAUUGUAAUAAACAGUUUAGUUUGCUAAGAUGUUUCCAUUUAUGGUCAUUACAAACCCUUUCUAAAGGUUAGAAUUUGUUUGACCAAGUUGCUUAUUUAUAUGUUCUGAGAAACUUGAUUUAUACCUCCCAGGUGGGAGAUAUUUAGAUUAUAAAUGUAAUUAAUGAGCUGUUGUAUAUUAUUUGUUUCUUGUUGUAUUGUGUGCCACUAAAGAUGUGGAGGCCACUAUGCCCUCAUCUCCUGCUGUUCUGUACACGCAGUGGUCAUCGACCAGGAAGGGGAGGAGCCACUACUGUCCUCACAUUCCUGUGUGAUGGGAGGUCAUCUCCUGCUGGCUCCUCCCCUUCCUGGUCGCUGACCAGGAAGGGGAGGAGCCACUACUGUCCUCACAUUCCUGUGUGAUGGGAGGAGUCACUACUGUCCUCAUAUUCCUGUGUAAUGUGAGGUCAUCUCUUCUGGCUCCAGCCGCUCAUUAACUCGGAUUUUUAUAUCGAUUCUGUUCAUUUGUAAACCAUGGUAAAAAGGAAACGACAUGAGAAGGAUUUUGGUUUUAAUCUACCAUAAGAAACAAAUAGAUUUCUAACAUGUAUAUAACAUUUUGUGCAAAAUGUAUCCGGUUUCACAGAAUAUGAAUCAAAACCAAAUAAAUUAGGCCUGUGACAAUUCUACAAAUCACAACCAGUAUAAAACAAAUGGGACUCGACAUAGACGUUUUAGUUUAGCCACAAUAAAUAUAAUAAUAUUAUAGACAUGAUUCUGAAUAAAUAUCUAAUCAAUCCAACACAGCA